UCCUGGAUUAAACAACUCUGCUUCUCCCUGACCUGACCCUCUUUUUGUUUUAUUAUGUAGAUCUGACCUUUGCUUCACAAAGGUGUUGGCACUGAGAAGACAUCAGUAAAACUUUGUCUGCCUCAAAAGAGUAGAGUUCAAGGCCCUGCCAUAUGACUCCCACCCCUGGGCCUGGCACACUUUUCUCUGGUUGCCCUGGGGUACUGAUGUUCAUGAACACUGUCACAGUUUCUAGGGAAAAGGUUAAGAGACACAUUCAUACCAAAGUAGAAUUGAUCUUUCAAAACCAUCA
rnacentral:lncRNA from 1 species